rnacentral:rRNA from 1 species
UACGAAGGGGGGCUAGCCGGUUGUUUCGGUGAAUUACAUGGGCGUAAAGCGCACGUAGGACGGGAUCGAUCAAGUCAGGGGGUGAAACUCCCAGGGCUCAACCCUGGAAACUGCCUUUGAUACGUGUCGAUCUGGGAAGUUCAUGGAAGAGGUGAGUGGAAAUUCCGAGUGUAGAGGUAGAAAAUUCGUCAGAUAUUCGGGAGGAACACCGAGUGGGCAGAAGGGCGACUCACUGGCCAUUACUGAACGCGUGGAGGUGCGGAAAAGCGUGGGGGAGCCA